rnacentral:tRNA from 1 species
GGGUCAGUAGCUCAGGUGGUUAGAGCACGUGCCUUAUAAGCACGGGGUCGGAGGUUCAAGUCCUCCCUGACCCACUA